rnacentral:rRNA from 1 species
AUACGUAGGUGGCGAGCGUUGUCCGGAUUUACUGGGUGUAAAGGGCGUGUAGGCGGGUAUGCAAGUCAGAUGUGAAAUACCGGGGCUCAACUCCGGGGCUGCAUUUGAAACUGUGUAUCUUGAGUGCAGGAGAGGGAAGUGGAAUUCCUAGUGUAGCGGUGAAAUGCGUAGAUAUUAGGAGGAACACCAGUGGCGAAGGCGACUUCCUGGACUGCAACUGACGCUGAGGCGCGAAAGCGUGGGUAGCGAACAGGAUUAGAUACCCUGGUAGUCCACGCUGUAAACGAUGGAUACUAGGUGUAGGAGGUAUCGACCCCUUCUGUGCCGGAGUUAACACAAUAAGUAUCCCACCUGGGGAGUACGGCCGCAAGGUUGAA